CUUACGGGUGGCUGCAGUGGGGAAUAUUGGACAAUGGGGGGAACCCUGAUCCAGCCAUGCCGCGUGUGUGAAGAAGGCCCUCGGGUUGUAAAGCACUUUCAGUGAGGAAGAACGCCUGGUGGUUAAUACCCAUCAGGAAAGACAUCACUCACAGAAGAAGCACCGGCUAACUCCGUGCCAGCAGCCGCGGUAAUACGGAGGGUGCGAGCGUUAAUCGGAAUUACUGGGCGUAAAGCGCGCGUAGGUGGCUUGAUAAGCCGGUUGUGAAAGCCCCGGGCUCAACCUGGGAACGGCAUCCGGAACUGUCAAGCUAGAGUGCAGGAGAGGAAGGUAGAAUUCCCGGUGUAGCGGUGAAAUGCGUAGAGAUCGGGAGGAAUACCAGUGGCGAAGGCGGCCUUCUGGACUGACACUGACACUGAGGUGCGAAAGCGUGGGUAGCAAACAGGAUUAGAUACCCGUGUAGUC
rnacentral:rRNA from 1 species